UACGGAGGGUGCAAACGUUGCUCGGAAUCAUUGGGCGUAAAGCGCACGUAGGCGGCCUGUUAAGUCGGGUGUGAAAGCCCUGGGCUCAACCCAGGAAGUGCACUCGAAACUGGCGGGCUUGAAUAUGGAAGAGGGUCGCGGAAUUCCCGGUGUAGAGGUGAAAUUCGCAGAUAUCGGGAAGAACACCCGUGGCGAAGGCGGCUCUCUGGGACGGUACUGACGCUGAGACGCGAAAGCGUGGGGAGCGAACAGG
rnacentral:rRNA from 1 species